GCCGGCUACGGACAAACUUCGUUCGAGCUCCUAUGGGAGCCGGACUUCAUCCCCAACUUCGACUGCAGGAAGACCUCAUCCGAGCUCCUACAGGUGUCGGACUUCACUUCCGACUCCAGCUACAGACUCCAACCGAACUUCGGCCGACAAGUCUGGACCCCCUGGCAGGCCACAGUAACGGCCACAGCACUGCUCCACUUCCUGCGAUGGAUUCCAUGCGGCUCCAUCACUCCCUGGCAGGCCACAAUAAUGGCCAAGAUUCUGCUCCACUCCCUGCGGCAGACCCUACGCGGCUCCAUUACUCCCUGGCAGGCUAUAAUAACGGCCACGAUUCUGCUCCACUCCCUGC
rnacentral:lncRNA from 1 species